GAACAGUUAUCCAAUCAAAACAAAAUCCGAAUGGAAAUAUUCUUAACAGUUAUCUAUAAAACACAAAGAAGAAAAUCAAACAUGUGCCAUUCCAAAAGCUGCAUUCUUUUCAGAUGUUAAAAGCAAGAAAGACACAAAUCAUUAAAAACACAUGCAAAACUCAACCUUUUGAAAUCCAAUUAAAAAGGUUGAAAUGAUUUCAGUUCUUAAAACAAGAAAGCUGCUUUUCAUUUUUUUUUUAAAUCUAAUUUAAUUUUAUAUGAUACUAUC
rnacentral:misc_RNA from 1 species